ACCCUCUGGUUCUCUAUACUAUCAGAGAUCAACACUUGUUGGUAGUAAAGGAGGAAGAGAGAUGCUCAAGUUGGCCUUACAGGAUUGUUGCCUGGUUCAUAGAAUGUGGGCUAGAUUUCAAUAGGG
rnacentral:snoRNA from 1 species